UUGUCGUCACUUACUAUCAGUUGUAAGGACGAAGAAGAUGGUAGAAGAAAGAAGAAAUAAUUUCAUGAUGUAACUGAACAAAGAGCAGGUGCUCCAUAGAUAGGUCUUCGUCAUUCUUAUUGCCGAGAUCGCUGAGACCAGUUUGGAUCCGUAUGUGAUAACGAAGUUUUAUCAUCUCGUAAUUACAGAUUAUGAUUGCAGUUGUUCGUGUAGCUAUAGAUGAAUCGAUCUUUGUUUCGAUAAAAUAAAGAAGGAAUUGUGAAGGAGAUUUGUUGUUAAUGUUUUUCGGUUAAUUUAAAUUUGUUUGCGUUUUAUGAUGUUAAAAAACUUUUAAAAAUAUGUCUGUAUGAAUAAUUUGGAUCCAAAGCAGUUAUAGAGUCAAUAUUUGUUCGUAUAAAAUUUUAUUUUUCUUUUUUUCUACAAUCAGAUAUACUGUAGAUACUUAUAUAUAAAACAAGCAAUAGAUAUUCGCGAAUUAAAUUCAUUGUUUGCCUCUUAAUUAUUAAAUAACUAUUGCGCAUUUGAGUCAGUGCAUCAGGGAAGAUGAUCAAGGACCUAUUACACUUCUGUAGAAGAAUAUUGAUUUGCAUUGUCAUUAAAUCAAUGUAUUACAAAUUCAAUCUAAUUAAUUUUCCAUCUACGUCGAUUUAUUUUAUUUUGGACUUAUUACGGAACAGCUUACAUAAAUUUCGAGCUACAACGGGGCGAAUGUUUUGGAGCUAUUGUGGGUCUUAAGCAGUGAGUGAACAAAUUUAAGUUCCUCUAGUAUAUAUUAUGUCGAGGAUGAAAGAUUCGACUUGACAUGAGUUACUAGUUGUAAUUUUUUCUAUUAAUUGUUGACAAAUAGCCAUUAAUAAUUAACUUUUUGGAUUUA